GUUAGUGGCAGACGGGUGAGUAAUGCGUAGGAAUCUACCUAGUAGUACGGAAUAGCCAUUAGAAAUGGUGGGUAAUACUGUAUAAUCCCCGAGGGGGAAAGAUUUAUCGCUAUUAGAUGAGCCUACGUUAGAUUAGCUAGUUGGUGAGGUAAUGGCUUACCAAGGCUAUGAUCUAUAGCUGGUCUGAGAGGACGAUCAGCCACACUGGAACUGAGAUACGGUCCAGACUCCUACGGGAGGCAGCAGUGGGGAAUAUUGGACAAUGGGCGAAAGCCUGAUCCAGCUAUGCCGCGUGAGUGAAGAAGGCCUUCGGGUUGUAAAACUCUUUCAAUAGGGAAGAUAAUGACGGUACCUAUA
rnacentral:rRNA from 1 species